GUUCAUCAAUUUGCCAGGAUGCAUCCAGGACUGCAAUUUCUCAUGGUUAAUUAUAAUGAACAGACAGAGAUCUGCAAGAAGCUCAAUGUCUAUGUCUUGCCAUUGUUCCGCUUUUACAGAGGUGCUGAAGGUCGUAUCUGUAGCUUCAGUUGCACAAUUUCAACUAUUCACAAGUUCAAAGAUGCUCUGAAAAAGCAUGGGGUUCAGACUGAGAGUCUUGCAACAGAAAAGGGCUUAGUAGAAUCUGAAUCCAAGAGCCUUGCCCCACCUUCUGAUACUCCAAAUGCAAGUGAUCCUUCGCCGAACAUGGAUGGAGAUGACGGUCAGGUUGAACCGAGCAAUGAAUAAAUCAAUUUGCUGCAGACUGCCGAGUUCGAUAGUUUUCAUAUAUGCAUAUAGAAGCUUUGUAAUUUAAAAAUAAGGCCCAUAUGCUCUUGAACCGGCCCUUUGUUUUAAAAUUUUGACGGCUAAUAAACAUUAAAUGUAUAUCUA